UNNGNGNUGGUUGUCCGCACGAGCGCACCCCUAUCCUUAGUUGCCAGCACGUCAUGGUGGGAACUCUAACGAUUACUGCCUGUGUUAAGCAGGAGGAAGGUGGGGAUGACGUCAAGUCCUCAUGGCCCUUACGUCCGGGGCUGCACACGUGCUACAAUGGCUGGUACAAAGGGCUGCGAUACCGCGAGGUGGAGCCAAUCCCACAAAACCAGUCUCAGUUCGGAUUGGAGUCUGCAACUCGACUCCAUGAAGGUGGAAUCGCUAGUAAUCGUGGAUCAGCAUGCCACGGUGAAUACGUUCCCGGGUCUUGUACACACCGCCCGUCAAGCGAUGAAAGCUUGGAACACCCGAAGUCGGUCGCCUAACCCGCAAGGGAAGGAGCCGCCGAAGGUGGGCCUGGUAAUUGGCGCUAAGUCGUAACAAGGUAGCCGUAUCGGAAGGUGCGGCUGGAUCACCUCCUUU
rnacentral:rRNA from 1 species